rnacentral:rRNA from 1 species
GCAGUCGAGAAUACUCCACAAUACACGAAAGUGUGAUGGGGGGAAUCUGAGUGGUCCCUUUGGGACCUUUUGCCAAGUCUAGUCAGCUUGGCGAAUAAGUGCUGGGCAAGACCGGUGGCAGCCGCCACGGUAAUACCGGCAGCACAAGUUGUAUCCGCGAUUAUUGGGCUUAAAGCGCUCGUAGUUGGCUAAUACCGUCUUAUGUGAAAUAUUGGCGCUUAACGUCAAUGCGUGCAUAAGAUACCUAUUAGCUAGGGAGUGGGUGAGGUUAGGGGUACUUAUUGGGAAGGGGUAAAAUCCUAUAAUCCUAUAAGGACCAACAGUGGCGAAGGCGCCUAACUAGAACACAUCCGACAAUGAGGAACGAAGGCUAGGAGAACGAAUCGGAUUAGAUACCCCCGUAGUCC